rnacentral:rRNA from 1 species
CUACGGGUCGCUGCAGUGGGGAAUAUUGGACAAUGGGGGAAACCCUGAUCCAGCAAUGCCGCGUGUGUGAAGAAGGCCUGCGGGUUGUAAAGCACUUUCGGUUGGGAGGACUGCUUCUAGCACUAAUAUUGUUGGAAGUUGACGUUACCUUCAGAAGAAGCACCGGCUAACUCCGUGCCAGCAGCCGCGGUAAUACGGAGGGUACAAGCGUUAAUCGGAAUUACUGGGCGUAAAGCGCGCGUAGGCGGCUAGAUCAGUCGGGUGUGAAAGCCCCGGGCUUAACCUGGGAACUGCAUCCGAUACUGGCUAGCUUGAGUACAGGAGAGGAGAGUGGAAUUCCACAUGUAGCGGUGAAAUGCGUAGAUAUGUGGAGGAACACCAAUGGCGAAGGCAGCUCUCUGGCCUGAUACUGACGCUGAGGUGCGAAAGCGUGGGGAGCAAACAGGAUUAGAUACCCGAGUAGUC